ACACUUUGCUGAUUCCAAAAAGCCAUUAGGAAAUAUUCCAAACGUUUCUUGAUUUAAUGCUAACUAAAAAUAUCUCAUCCUCAGAUUAGCACAGUGGGAUGUCAAGGGUGAGAAUAUUUGUCCUGGACAUCCGACACGAAUCCAUAUUCCUUACGUAAGACCUGGGUUCCACGGAAAGUACAAUUCCUUUCUUGCCCUCUUCAGAGACCUGGGAUGCUCAAAUGAUUGAUUUGCAGACCAAAAGCAAUGAAACUUAUUGCUGUGAUUGUGAUGGUUGAAAGAGAAACAACACUGACCUCCAGAAGUUUAGGGAGCAAAAUAAAUACAGAGUUUUAGCAUUAUGCAUGAAAACUGAGACCACUGAAUAACAUCCUGGAAACAUGGUGAGAAUAGACAUCCAGUGUAAAAUAAAUCAGCUCUCAAAGGGAGAGCAAUGUGAAUGACU